GACGAACGCUGGCGGCGUGCUUAACACAUGCAAGUCGAACGCUGAAGCCCUUCGGGGUGGAUGAGUGGCGAACGGGUGAGUAACACGUGGGUAAUCUGCCCUGCACUCUGGGAUAAGCCUUGGAAACGGGGUCUAAUACCGGAUAGGACACAUCGCCGCAUGGUGUGUGUGUGGAAAGUUCCGGCGGUGCAGGUUGAGCCCGCGGCCUAGCGGCUUGUUGGUGGGGUGAUGGCCUACCAAGGCGACGACGGGUAGCCGGCCUGAGAGGGUGACCGGCCACACUGGGACUGAGACACGGCCCAGACUCCUACGGGAGGCAGCAGUGGGGAAUCUUGCGCAAUGGGCGAAAGCCUGACGCAGCAACGCCGCGUGGGGGAUGACGGCCUUCGGGUUGUAAACCUCUUUCGACCGGGACGAAGGAUUCGUUUGACGGUACCGGUAGAAGAAGCACCGGCUAACUACGUGCCAGCCGCCGCCGUAA
rnacentral:rRNA from 1 species